rnacentral:lncRNA from 1 species
ACGACUCGGAUAGGUUUGACUCCGCAGAAAGCGAAGCAGUCGCCAUUUAUCGCUUCGAUGGGAGUUUACGUGUUUAAAACCGACAUGCUGUUGAAGCUCCUGAAGUGGAGGUUUCCUACAGCAAAUGACUUUGGCUCUGAGAUCAUCCCUGCAGCAGUUAUGGAGCAUGAUGUCAAUGCAUACAUCUUUCGAGACUACUGGGACGAUAUUGGAACGAUCGAUUCGUUCUACCAAGCUAACUUAGCUCUCACCGAAGAGGUAAGGAUUUCCAACAAAUCGAUUGAUUUGUUCGUGGGGUUGAAGAAAUUAUAACCUGUUAACUGUGUGUGCAGCCUCCAAUGUUUGAGUUUUACGACCCUCAAAAACCGAUUUACACAUCUCCAACGUUCUUG